UACGGGGGGGGCAAGCGUUGUUCGGAAUUACUGGGCGUAAAGGGCUCGUAGGCGGCCAACUAAGUCAGACGUGAAAUCCCUCGGCUUAACCGGGGAACUGCGUCUGAUACUGGAUGGCUUGAGGUUGGGAGAGGGAUGCGGAAUUCCAGGUGUAGCGGUGAAAUGCGUAGAGAUGCGGAGGAACACCGAUGGCGAAGGCAGCCCCCUGGGCCGACACUGACGCUCAGGCACGAAAGCGUGGGGAGCAAACAGG
rnacentral:rRNA from 1 species